GGGGGUGGGGAAAAAAUGCGCAACAGAAACGAAAUCGCACGGUAUGUUUAGACAGAGCCACUCAACCCCCCACCCGUGUUUCCGCACGCCCUCAUUUGCAUAAACAUGAGUAAUUUAUGAAUAAUAAAUGCCCUUGCAUUCAGCGGGAGCCGUUAAUUUGCAUAUCACCACAGCUACAGUUUUAUUUCCUUAGUGCGGCGUUAUCAUGAAGCCCUUCGAGCCUGCAUAAAACCAGGCUCAAAGAAAUGACGCUUUAACAGAUCAGAGGACGGGGGGAAGCCCCCUUUCAUCUCUGUGACAGCGCUUUUCACCUCCACUGGUGACUGGUGCUCCUAUUGCACACUGGGAUGCCAGACAGAGCAGAAUGCCACAGGCCCGUGCGCCCUGGCAACCGUUCCUGCUUUAGAUGCCCCCCUCGCUCCACAGCGUACUCUGGGAAUACGCGCACCCUCCUCCAGCCUCCUUUAGCCGUCCACUCCGAGCCUUCCUCCACAACCUCCAGACAGGUCACUGAUGGAUGGAGUAGGAGAGCGCAGAGAGCCCCUUGAUGUUGGAAAUAAAUCUGAUAGGCCCGGAUGGAUAAGGCCAAGCAUUAUAUUUCUCAUUGGCCUCACGCUGAAGUGUGUACAUGUGGAGCGGUUUGUCCUAUUUUACUACACCAUUUUCUUUACUUUUAACACCCUCCCUCAUCUGCGCCCCAGCCCUUCCUUUCUUCUCCUCUAUGGCAGCAGAGAUAAUGCCAUAAUUUACAGCUAUGCAUUGUAGAAGAUGAAUGAUAGUUGCUUUUCUUGCUUAAUAUGCAUUCACCACUACCAGAUAAUAGUCUUUUUGUAGGAAUAAUAAAAGAAAUACCCUCAAAUUUUUUUUUGCAUUUUUAUGUUAUAUCCCUUCUCCAUAAUGUGCUAAAAGUGAUGUAUAAUUUUCAAUCUUUCAUUAGAAACAAAAUUGAUAAUGAUGAAAGUGUGCUAGAUUUUUCUAUAGCUUUUCUUCUUUUUUCAUGUUCUUAAGUGAAAUAUUGCGCGAGGGGGGGAAAGUUCGCUUUUCUUUUUCUCCCAUAGGUAGUCUCUUGAGUGUAUAUGCAGCCUGCUUAAGAACAGUGGGAGAAAACCACACACACACACACACACAAAUAAUUUUGCAGACAUCUUUUUGCAAAAACAUCUAGUCUUGAUGCAUAUACAGCAUAAAUAUGUAUUCCAUGUCUCCCUCACAAACAGCAAUUUCUCUUGUAAAUUCACACUUCCAUGUCUUCUCAGCAGACUGUGUGGUAAAGGAGGCUGGAGCUUCAGUGUGUGUUUGUGUGUGCGUGAAAAGAGGCUGGGUUCCAGUGUCCAGGGCCCGGUUUCCCUUGGGAGCACUCUAAAAUACUCCACUGACCUUCCUAUCUCCUUCAAAUGCAGGUCAUGGCAAGGGGUCAGAGGUCACUUGGAGCAACAGGAUGUCAGCGUGUGAUCUCCGUGCAAACAGGGUUCCUGCUGGCAUCCUUUGGAAGAGAGAGUCCACAAAAGUAUAGUCUGUGUUGAGCACGUUCCUCUACUACAGGAUGGGAUGUCACCAGAAAUGUCCUGUAAAAAAAAUGAGUUUCCAUCUUUGGUCAUCUGGAAACAAGUUUCAGAAGGUGGCAUGGCCAGAAAAUCAGACAAAACAAAAUGCACAAGGUCGUCUUUUAACUUUUCAGAGCUUGGUCUGAUCUUCUGACCAUAAGGAGUCAACUGCAUCUUAAGUUUUGACCGACGUCCCAGUUGUGUAAAUUUGUGUAUGAAGCUACAAGGACGUAUUAAAAAGGACAAAUUAAAGAACAUAAUUUAUUUAAGACUAAACUCUAAAGCAGAAAUAAAUACAUGAAAGAAUAACAGUGUGUGUAAUUUGCUUUGUGAACCCAGCAAUGAAUAACAAACACUUUCAAUGGUAACACAAACUGAAGGAGCGAUGCCCAAUAAGGCAUCCAGUACUCUUUCGCAACCGAUCAGAACCACGCCGUCAAACACAGGUUCAAAGCUGAUUUUAGCCCACCACACUCCGACAACGAAAGAAAAGAGUUUGCCAUUCAAAUGAGAAAUGUUUACAGGCCUCAAUAUGUGUAAUAAAUACAAAAAAAAAUACAGAUCAAUCAAUUAAACUGGUCAUUAGGAUAAAUUACAAUUUGCUUGAGGGGCAGAUUUAGACAGAUUAGACAGGAGUUUAAGAAGUACAAGGAGUGAGGGGUGUUAAAUCAAGUCAUCAAACAAAUAAUUUCCAUAAAAAACAAACAGAAAAUCUAGAAAUUAGGCAGGAUUGAUACAUUCAUUAUGUGCAUAUUCUCCAUCCUUUAAAAACACACAACUAAAGCUAAGACUUUUGACAUCAGGAGCUUAGAAACGCUGAUAUGGUGGUUCUGUACAAAACUGAGCUGGAAUUUUGAAAUUACAGCUCGAUUGUUUAUUAAAAGCAAAAGGAAAUGACAGGCCAGAGAACCGCAGCACCGUGCGAUUAAUCUGGCGCCACAUACCCAACAUUCCUGAAUAAACUGGACAAUCGCAUUGGCCAGUGUGUCAUCUGCACAAUGACUGCUUGUGCGUUUAA